rnacentral:rRNA from 1 species
AUUGAACGCUGGCGGCAUGCCUUACACAUGCAAGUCGUACGGUAACAGGUCUUCGGAUGCUGACGAGUGGCGAACGGGUGAGUAAUACAUCGGAACGUGCCUAGUAGUGGGGGAUAACUACUCGAAAGAGUGGCUAAUACCGCAUGAGAUCUACGGAUGAAAGCAGGGGAUCGCAAGACCUUGUGCUACUAGAGCGGCCGAUGGCAGAUUAGGUAGUUGGUGGGGUAAAAGCUUACCAAGCCGACGAUCUGUAGCUGGUCUGAGAGGACGAUCAGCCACACUGGGACUGAGACACGGCCCAGACUCCUACGGGAGGCAGCAGUGGGGAAUUUAGGACAAUGGGCGUAAGCCUGAUCCAGCAAUGCCGCGUGCAGGAUGAAGGCCUUCGGGUUGCAAACUGCUUUUGUACGGAACGAAAAGCCCCGGGUUAAUACCCUGGGGUCAUGACGGUACCGUAAGAAUAAGCACCGGCUAACUACGUGCCAGCCGCCGCCGUAA